UAUUUUUUGUUAUGCAUUGUCGUUUUCUUUUACUUUAUUUGUGUAUUAUUCAGGGUAAUUUGCUUAAUCAUUUAUAGAAUUAUUGCGUAAGACAUUUCUCAGCUAUACAAUGUAAAAAAAUAGUUGUAUAAUAUGUGUUUUAAAAUCUGGCCGGUCAGAUUAAGAGUAAUUCAGAGUAAGAGAAUUUUCAUGGCUAAAUUAUUUUGGACAAAGAAAGGUUCAGGACCCACGCCACGACUUCAAAAACAUUUGUUGCAACUUCUGAAAAACGAAUACCAAGGACUGUCUAAGCCGAAACUAUUACACAACACAAAACAAAGCUAUUAAAAAAGUUUAAUUAUGGAAA